rnacentral:lncRNA from 1 species
CCAAGCCCCGCGCACUCAGGUUCCGCUCCAAGUGCGGGACCCGCCCGGGGUGUGUCGGGGGUACUCGGCCGGAGGCGGCCGGUGAGUGGGGCUUACAGGGCCCCGGGACCAAGGAACCCCAGCAUGUGAAUUGGACUUUAUCACCCAGUUGGAGGAAGAAUAACAGUAGAUGUUGGAUCUUCAGGAAAGCUGAAGAGGGCAGUGCCUCUACUGUCUAGAUAGAGGGAUUUGACCUGAACCAAAGCAUCAACACCAAUCAGACUUUUUCCAAAAAAC